rnacentral:rRNA from 1 species
CAUCGAAUCUUUGAACGCACGUUGCGCCCGCCAGUAUUCUGGCGGGCAUGCCUGUUCGAGCGUCAUUUCAACCAUCAAGCCCCCGGGCUCGUGUUGGGGACCUGCGGCUGCCGCAGGCCCUGAAAAGCAGUGGCGGGCUCGCUGUCACACCGAGCGUAGUAGCAUACAUCUCGCUCCGGUCGUGCUGCGGGUUCCGGCCGUUAAACCACCUUUUAACCCAAGGUUGACCUCGGAUCAGGUAGGAAGACCCGCUGAACUUAAGCAUAUCAAUAAGCGGAGGAAAAGAAACCAACAGGGAUUGCCCUAGUAACGGCGAGUGAAGCGGCAACAGCUCAAAUUUGAAAUCUGGCCUCGGCCCGAGUUGUAAUUUGCAGAGGAAGCUUUAGGCGCGGCACCUUCUGAGUCCCCUGGAACGGGGCGCCAUAGAGGGUGAGAGCCCCGUAUAGUUGGAUGCCUAGCCUGUGUAAAGCUCCUUCGACGAGUCGAGUAGUUUGGGAAUGCUGCUCAAAAUGGGAGGUAAAUUUCUUCUAAAGCUAAAUACCGGCCAGAGACCGAUAGCGCACAAGUAGAGUGAUCGAAAGAUGAAAAGCACUUUGAAAAGAGGGUUAAAUAGCACGUGAAAUUGUUGAAAGGGAAGCGCUUGUGACCAGACUUGCGCCGGGCGGAUCAUCCGGUGUUCUCACCGGUGCACUCCGCCCGGCUCAGGCCAGCAUCGGUUCUCGCGGGGGGAUAAAGGUCUCGGGAACGUAGCUCCUCCGGGAGUGU